UAACGCGUGAGGAACCUGCCUCAAAGAGGGGGACAACAGUUGGAAACGACUGCUAAUACCGCAUAAGCCCACGGUGCCGCAUGGCACAGAGGGAAAAGGAAGCAAUCCGCUUUGAGAUGGCCUCGCGUCCGAUUAGCUAGUUGGUGAGGUAAUGGCCCACCAAGGCGACGAUCGGUAGCCGGACUGAGAGGUUGAACGGCCACAUUGGGACUGAGACACGGCCCAG
rnacentral:rRNA from 1 species